UGGCUGAGCGGUCCGCGGCGGU
rnacentral:misc_RNA from 1 species